rnacentral:lncRNA from 1 species
CAGUUCACCACCUGGCUGAGAGCUGCACAGGGCCAAGCCUAGAGCUGGUCAAGUCAUUCUCAUCUCCAUUUCUGUCCUCUUUACAGGUACAAGCUAGGUGGGUAUAUACGUGGCUGUGCACAUCCUCCUGCCUGAUCUCCAGCUCUCUACCUGGCCCAGGAAGGAGGCAGAGGUUCAGCUCAGCCUUCUGUGCAGCAGGAAACACAUCUGCUUCAGCAGAACUCAUUACUGGAGUUUCUGAAGUCCAGGACAGCCUCUCUGGUCAAGCAUUCCGCCUCCUGAAGUUUGAUCUCUGCUGUCCUCCUCUCUGGGUGUGCAUUUCCAACUUUACCGAAAGGGAUGAAAGUAAAUGUAGACCCUUGCACUUGUGUACAGGGUGAAACUGACCUCCCAGUAACAAUCCCAGCCUGGAGCUGUUGCCAAGGCUCCAUUUCUUGCUGGUGUGGGACCAGACGAUGUGCGGAAUAAGGACUGCCUUGCUGAGAGCAGGUCUGCUGGGGCACAGAGCAGCACAGCACUGAUUUCUUUCAGGAGAAAGAAGGGGAGGGAAGUGCUAUUGUCCUCCGUUGCCAGGUGCAGGAGAUAGUUCUGCUUGCUCUCAUGACAAGCCAUGGCCAGAAAACUUUGCUGGCUCACAAAGCAGGUCAGUGCCAGAUGCAGGUUUCUGCCUUAGGCAUGCUGGACCGUCCCGUGUGCAGCUGAACCAGGAGCCUCACCAGAAACAAUUAGUUCAGCUAAGUUUGAUUGAUGAGCAGAAGACUUUCUUCCUUCUUUGCAAGGUACCAGCUCUUCUGUCUUGUGGCUGCAGUGCAGGCAGCAUAGCUGGCACUUACCUUUCAGGUUUUGUCUCAUGCUCAUUCUCUGCAGGUCUCCAUAUCCCACUAAAGUUAAAGAGGGAGAGCUCCAGCUCCUGCUUUGGAGCUUCUGGCACAACUCUGUACAGGAGCAGCUGAGGAAGUGGAGGGGACAACAUACAGCUCUCACUGCAGAGUUUAGAGCAACCCCAGAACAAACUUCAACGGGUGGGGGACCAUAGCUGCAGCC